rnacentral:rRNA from 1 species
UGGGGAAUAUUGCACAAUGGGCGCAAGCCUGAUGCAGCGACGCCGCGUGGGGGAUGACGGUCUUCGGAUUGUAAACCCCUUUCAGUAGGGACGAAGCGCAAGUGACGGUAUCUGCAGAAGAAGCACCGGCCAACUACGUGCCAGCAGCCGCGGUAAUACGUAGGGUGCGAGCGUUGUCCGGAAUUACUGGGCGUAAAGAGCUCGUAGGCGGUUUGUCGCGUCGUCUGUGAAAUCCUCCAGCUUAACUGGGGGCGUGCAGGCGAUACGGGCAGACUUGAGUACUACAGGGGAGACUGGAAUUCCUGGUGUAGCGGUGAAAUGCGCAGAUAUCAGGAGGAACACCGGUGGCGAAGGCGGGUCUCUGGGUAGUAACUGACGCUGAGGAGCGAAAGCAUGGGUAGCGAACAGG